UACGAAGGGGACUAGCGUUGUUCGGAAUCACUGGGCGUAAAGCGCACGUAGGCGGAUGUGUCAGUCAGGGGUGAAAUCCCGGGGCUCAACCUCGGAACUGCCUUUGAUACUGGCGAUCUCGAGUUCGGGAGAGGUGAGUGGAACUGCGAGUGUAGAGGUGAAAUUCGUAGAUAUUCGCAAGAACACCAGUGGCGAAGGCGGCUCACUGGCCCGAUACUGACGCUGAGGUGCGAAAGCGUGGGGAGCAAACAGG
rnacentral:rRNA from 1 species